UGCUCCACUUGGGUCUCUAUGUUUCUGCUUUCCCUAUUUUUUAGGACAAUAAAGGCAUACUCCUGCUUUCCUCCUGGCCUGCCUCCUCCUCCACAGUCUGGGUCUCAUUCCCUCUUUCUCUCUAGGCACUAGGAUCAGUCCCUCCAGUAUGUUCUAGAAUGGUGCUAAAGACUCUCUCUUCCUUUGAUACAAGUUCUUUCCUCUCCCCUGACUCACUGAAACACUCCUCUGCUCUGGUCACAGCUACCCCUAACCAGAGUCAGGCUUCCCGCAGAAGGUGUGGCCCAGAUUAAAGUCAUAUGUCUUCCCACUUCAAGAUCCGGGUUAGGGUUAGAAGUUGAUCUUCCUACUUUAAUUAAGCAAAUAAUCCUUCACUGGCGUGUGCUCCAUUUGGAAAUUUACUUCAUCGCAGAUGUAUUCAAGUUGACAAGCAAGAGAAAUCAUCACAUCUAACAGAGUGAAGAACAGUCCCUCACGAUGGAGAAGUCAAGGCAGCAGUUAGAAGCAGCUGGUCACAUUGUGUCUCCAGUCAGGAAGCAGAGAACAAACAAUGCUUACACUCAGCUUGCCUUCUCCUUUAUACAUAGUCCAGAAUCCUACCCAAGGGAAUGGUGUCACCCACAGAAAGCAGACUUUCUAUUAAUCUAAUAAAGACAAUCCUUCAUAAGUGUGUUCAGAAGCCCAUAUUGAGAUUAACCAUCACAAUAACAUAUCCACAUUAA